AUGAAGCUGCAGGGAGCAGCAAAUAUUUUUCCUGCUAUUUUCUGUAGCCCAGUUCCUGCGUCCCUCGAGGUCACACACUGGAGGUCACAGCCUCCCCUGACAGCUGCCAAGGCUGCUCCAGCCAGGCCCGAGUGCCGCGGUUCAGCAGCGCUGCCACGAUCUCCUAAAUACAGCAGCUCCCAUCCAGCAGAUGGCCGACCCCGGGAGCUGCUGCGGGACCGCUGUGGGAUCGCUGCGGGAUCGCUGCGGGAUCGAUGUGGGAUCACUAUGGGAUCUCUGCGGGAUCACUGCCAGGAUCACUGUGGGAUCGCUGCGGGAUCACUGCCAGGAUCACUGUGGGAUCUCUGCGGGAUCACUGUGGGAUCACUGUGGGAUCGCUGCGGGAUCGCUAUGGGAUCUCUGCGGGAUCGCUGUGGGAUCUCUGCGGGAUCACUGCCAGGAUCACUGUGGGAUCUCUGCGGGAUCGAUGUGGGAUCACUGUGGGACCGCUGCGGGAUUGCUGUGGGAUCACUGCCAGGAUCACUGUGGGAUCUCUGCGGGAUCGCCGCGGGAUCGCUAUGGGAUCUCUGCGGGAUCACUGCGGGAUCUCUGCGGGAUUUCUACAAGAUCACUGCCAGGAUCACUGUGGGAUCUCUGCGGGACCGCUGUGGGAUCACUGCCAGGAUCACUGUGGAAUCUCUGCGGGAUCACUGCGGGAUCGCUAUGGGAUCUCUGCGGGAUCACUGCGGGAUCUCUGCGGGAUUUCUACAAGAUCACUGCCAGGAUCACUGUGGAAUCUCUGCGGGAUCACUGCGGGAUCGCUAUGGGAUCUCUGCGGGAUCACUGCCGGGAUCACUGCGGGAUCUCUGCAGGAUCACUGUGGGAUCUCUGUGGGAUCUCUGCAGGACCACUGUGGAAUCGCUGUGGGAUCGCUGCGUGAUCACUACAGGAUCUCUGCAGGAUUACUACCCGGAUCACUGUGGGAUCUCUGCAGGAUUGCUGUGGGAUCUCUGCCGGGAUCGCUGCCGGGAUGCGACUGCGCGGGGCUCCCUCUGCCGGCGGCUGCCGGGGGUGCCGGUGACCGGGCUCGGUCCUGGAGCCGGAGAGCGGCAGCCCCGGACACCGACCCGGCAACGGGGCUGGGAGCGCUGUCCGGGGCUGGCAGAGCUGUCCCGGGGCUGCCAGCGCUGUCCCGGGGCUGGGAGCGCUGUCCCGGGGCUGCCAGCGCUGCCCGGGGCUGGGGGCUGCCAGCGCUGUCCCGGGGCUGCCAGCGCUGCCCGGGGCUGCCAGCGCUGUCCCGGGGCUGCCAGCGCUGUCCCGGGGCUGCCAGCGCUGCCCGGGGCUGGGGGCUGCCAGCGCUGUCCCGGGGCUGCCAGCGCUGUCCCGGGGCUGCCAGCGCUGUCCCGGGGCUGCCAGCGCUGCCCGGGGCUGCCAGCGCUGUCCCGGGGCUGUUAG
rnacentral:lncRNA from 1 species